ACAGCAGUCGCCGCGGUAAUACGAAGGGUGCAAGCGUUAAUCGGAAUUACUGGGCGUAAAGCGUGCGUAGGCGGUGAGUUAAGUCUGCUGUGAAAUCCCCGGGCUCAACCUGGGAAUGGCAGUGGAUACUGGCUCGCUAGAGUGUGUCAGAGGAUGGUGGAAUUCCCGGUGUAGCGGUGAAAUGCGUAGAGAUCGGGAGGAACAUCAGUGGCGAAGGCGGCCAUCUGGGACAACACUGACGCUGAGGCACGAAAGCGUGGGGAGCAAACAGGAUUAGAUACCCGCGUAGUCCCUGUCUCUUAUAC
rnacentral:rRNA from 1 species